GACGAACGCUGGCGGCGUGCUUAACACAUGCAAGUCGAACGAUGAACCGGUUUCGGCCGGGGAUUAGUGGCGAACGGGUGAGUAACACGUGGGCAAUCUGCCCUGCACUCUGGGAUAAGCCCGGGAAACUGGGUCUAAUACCGGAUACGGCACUCCGAGGCAUCUUGGGGUGUGGAAAGUUCCGGCGGUGCAGGAUGAGCCCGCGGCCUAUCAGCUUGUUGGUGGGGUAAUGGCCUACCAAGGCGACGACGGGUAGCCGGCCUGAGAGGGUGACCGGCCACACUGGGACUGAGACACGGCCCAGACUCCUACGGGAGGCAGCAGUGGGGAAUAUUGCACAAUGGGCGAAAGCCUGAUGCAGCGACGCCGCGUGAGGGAUGACGGCCUUCGGGUUGUAAACCUCUUUCAGCAGGGAAGAAGCGAAAGUGACGGUACCUGCAGAAGAAGCACCGGCUAACUACGUG
rnacentral:rRNA from 1 species